rnacentral:rRNA from 1 species
GAGCACGUAGGUGGGUUUGUAAGUCAGAUGUGAAAGCCUUCUGUUCAACGGAAGAAUUGCAUCUGAAACUGCGAGUCUUGAGUGUAGGAGGGGAGAAUGGAACUUCUGGUGGAGCGGUGAAAUGCGUAGAUAUCAGAAGGAACGCCGGCGGCGAAAGCGAUUCUCUGGCCUAUUACUGACACUCAGUGUGCGAAAGCUAGGGGAGCAAACGGGACUAGAUACCCCGGUAGUCCUAGCCGUAAACGAUGGGCACUAAGUAGAGGGGUUUU